CCCGGCCGGGAUCGCUGUGCCCCGGCCGCUCGUGGCCUCCCGCCCAAGGGUAUCCUGCGUGAGAGCUCUCCCUUGUCCCGGCUACGUGCACUGAGCCCGGUGGGAGCCACCAGGGAAACACCCGGGCAAAGCUGGCACCGAGGCGUGGGCAUCCCGGGAUCUGCUAGGAGACAGCCUGAGAGCCCCUCCUCUGCCCGGUGGGCACCCAGGAGCCCUGGUCCUCCAGCCCCAGAACCAAGGACACGAUUGCAGCUUCAGGCCCUAAAAGUGAAAACAACAGCGAAUUGAGGAGAGCAGACUGGGAGGAUGAGACUUCAUAACCUGGAGCUGUAAUUGGACAGUUAACCCAAUAUGGAAAUGGACCAAAACUUAUAAAAGUGUCAGAACUCAUGACUCUGAGUCCAUCUUGAGUGUAGCCUUGGCCAGGCUCUUGUACUGCCCAAGGUGUGUCCUUUGACGGCCUUUUUAAUAAAUCCCUACUUUAUUUCUUUAACACUGUCUUGCUCUGUUCUGCUGCACUAUGAAGCAGUCCCCGAGUCCUACAGAAGCUGGUGCUGCUGCACACCCAAAAACCAUUCCCUGGGACCUGAAAUGCUUUUGAUUCAGUUUGACUAACGGUCAUGUCAAAUCCAGGGGUUUCUUUAAUACAAUCUUUUUUCCGGCUGGAGACCAGUUCUGUGAGCAGCAGAAGUUUCUUUGUUUCCCCAGGAUUUCCCUGUGCCUGGUAAUGCUAUCACGGCCCCAUGCACAGAUUUGGCUGAAAUCCAUGUGUUCAGUGAAUAUGACACCUUCCAAAAAUUCUGGACUAGCUGUGUAUCUGUGAUACAGUCUCAGCACCUGCACUGUGGGCCUGGGGCUUCUCCAGCAGCUUUGAUGAAACUUCUUUGAAUGCACAACUCUGCAGCUCUUGCUUUCUGUUCUUUCUGAGAAGAAUUGGAUGAAUAAUGUGUGCACAUUCACUUCUGACAUUGAAUUCCCAAAAAUGUGACAGCCUUAACCCUGCAUCUGCCUGCUCGAAGUACCUGGGAUGACCUGGGCGUUCCAUGCACAUUUCCCAGCACUCAGAUGGACAAGGGCAGCUUGCUGCCUGCAUUUUGGCCGGUACUGACUGAGGUGCUGGCUCCUCCUCACCUCCAGCUCACAGGACACAGGGUGUGAGGAUUGCUGAGGGGCGUGUGGGAGUGAAGCCAUCAAACUGCAUCACCCAGGGGACAGUGCUUCACCACAGCUCCAUUGUUUCAGAGCUCAGGUUCAUCUCCUCCGCUCCAAGUGCAAAUCCAUGCUGUUUCACACACCCAUCCUCAGUCCUGUGCACUCACACUGCUUUUAGACCUGGCUCCUUCCAGAAGUGUAGUGUAGGGCCCCUCUGACUGUAUCAGCAGGGAGAGACACUCCGUUCCAAGUGCCUCCUUUGUGGAGGCCAAAGAACCCAGCCCAGAUGCCUGUCUGGACAGCUCCUACACAGGAGCAUGGCAGAUGGGGACAGGGGGACGGGCAGUGAGUUUGUGAGUUUUCCUGCUCUGGUUUCAGCUGUAUCCCAUGGCCACCAGCUUUACACCAGCCCAUUGCAGGCUGGAUCAGGGGGUACCUCAGCAGGGCGCUGCUCCUCAAUGAUGGGUUUUAUUCUCUGGUUCUGAAGGACCCUUUCUGUAUCUAAUAUAUUUGAUUUUAUUAAUUAUUUUCAAUUUUAGAUUGCAGGAUCUGGAGCUGGUCCUGGACAUCAGCUGGGAGCUGGUGAAGGGAUGUGUCAUGCUCCAGCAGCAGCAAGGAGCACACUCCAGCAGCCAGUUCCUUAACAUGGAUUUCUUUCUCGGUGGGUGGGGACGGAUCCUCUGGUGUACCUCAGGGUGGUGUGGGCAGGGCCCUGGGAAGGAGAGGGAUGUGCAGGUGGAGGUGGUCCUGGGAUGCACCAGAGAGUAGCAACAGCCCAGUGCACAUUGCUGGGCUUUGGCUGCAGAGCAGGAUGUUCACCUCCUCACAGACCUGCACAUUUGCCCUGGUUUCAGCCAGGACAGGGUGAAAUUUUUUCACAGCAGCCAUGAGGGGCAGGGCCUGGAGCCGGGUGGGUGGGUCCAGGUUGUUAUUCCAUACCAUGCACUUCACUGCCAGGGUGCAAGUGAGGGACUCCCCCUUCCUGAGGGAGAAUGACAUUCCCUUUUGGUGGGGGAAAGCACGGUGCGGGCAGGAAGAGCUGUUGGGUGUUGUGGUUUUCCAUGUAAAUAAAUAAUUCUGUAUACCUUGUGUUAUAAAUAUUAUUG